rnacentral:rRNA from 1 species
GACAGAGGGUGCAAACGUUGUUCGGAAUUACUGGGCGUAAAGCGCGUGUAGGCGGUUAUGCAAGUCGGGUGUGAAAGCCCCGGGCUCAACCCGGGAAGUGCAUUCGAUACUGCGUAGCUAGAGUACUGGAGAGGGAAGUGGAAUUCCUGGUGUAGAGGUGAAAUUCGUAGAUAUCAGGAGGAACACCAGUGGCGAAGGCGGCUUCCUGGACACUAACUGACGCUGAGACGCGAAAGCGUGGGGAGCAAACAGGG